GGUGACUGUAGGUGUCUAUGUGGAUAAGAAGAUGUAUGGACACCGACAAUAACAGGACAAAAUACACUAAAUAGAAUGAGGAUCUACUGACAAAGUGAGAACCUAUGAUGUCCGGGCGUCAGACUCUGCAGAGAAAAUGGAGCUGGAAGACGUCCUGACGUCUGGACCAGAUGAAGAAGAAAAGAAAAGACAACAGAGAAGACGUCACUCAGGUCAGCCCACAGCUUUGUUCAGUUGUACUGUGCCUGGAAAAAAGGCUGGCUGGGAUUUGUAGUGGACGAUGAGGCUUCUGCAGGAAUGGACGGGAGGCCCCUGAGAUGAACCCACAGAUGAAGGCUGUCUCCUAUUGGCCUGUGGGCACCAAAACGCCAUGUGUUCUUCAUCCCUCAUGUUGUUAUCACACACAUUACCCAGGACACGCAAGCUGAACCUAGAAGUGUUCAGAAAUUCUGCGAGUCACUGCAACCAUGAAAUUGGGGUUAAAUCUGGGUUCGCGGGGCUCGGCUCCCUCAUCCCUAGUGGUGAGUUACUGUAUUACUUCUAUUACUUGGGAUAAUUGUCUAUAAAUGUUCCCCAACACCUAUAGGACUUUUUAUAAUGUGUAAAGUUCUUCCAUCAGAAUAAUGUCCUAGAAGCCAGAAGAUAGAAGUGAUUUUGUGUCUCUAAUCUGGUCAUGUCCUGGAAUUCUUCAUCACUGGAAUAAGUCCCUUCUCUCUGAGGUGUUUGGGUCUCCAGUAGCAGCUCCCCAUGGAGUAUGCCUGUUGGGUCUUCUCCAUGAGGAGCAGUGAAUAUCACAACCAUAUAUCACACUCUUUUCCUACCAUGUAAACUAUAGUGAUGACAUCGCUGGAUCGGUGACUACGUUCUAAAAGAAAACUUUUAUUAACAAUUGGGAACAAGUUUGGAGAUGCAGUAUAUGAUAUAUGUAUAAAUGUCAGAUAUCCUAUGUACAU